UCAAUCAAAACAGCUCAAAUUUUUCGGGCAUGAUUUCUGCUCCUCCUCCUCCUCCUUCUAGUUUUGGGUGUUGCUACUUCUUCCUCUUUUGGGUAGAAUCAAAUGGAGAGCAAGAGUUGGAACACCAAUUUUAGCAAUCCAGAUCGCGUUCCAAGGCCAUUUGGAAAGCCGAAGAACCGUGUUUUGGGACACGUCAUCCAGAUCG
rnacentral:misc_RNA from 1 species